GACCGUUCUGACCCUAUCCCAAAUCUGGCUCCAGAAAAUCCAUUUAAACCGCCUACGUCACACCUAACCCCAAAUUUCUCUAUCGGUUGCUAUUUUCGGUAAAUCGUGACGUCGAAUCAGACACAACUGAAAGGUGCUGGUCUUUUGGGUCACGUAAAAUCAGCAAAGUCAACUGGAUGCACGAACGGAAAUGCACUCAGGCUGCUAGGUUGAGGUAGAGAAGGUCGGAGUGAGCGUCAGAUAAAUAGUGCGGAAUACAGAGAGCAAUUGAUGGAGAACGUGACAGACCGAAUCGAAGGUGUAAAAUCGAAAUUCCUCCACCAAUUAUAUUGAGAGCAUAAAUAGAGAGUACUCACCGGAGCUGGUUCAGCUUGUUCACUCAGGUAUCCACUGCACCAUAGCACAACACUGCACUUCCGAAACACACGCAGAAAAAUCUAUAGAAUUUUCAGGAUAUAGCGAGAGCAACGCGAGAACUUCCUGUACCGUACAGGAAACACGGAUAGAAAAACUGUAAACAAAUAGCCCGUAAGCGCGAGGCAGCUCGAGGCACCCCGAUCGGUGUCCCAAGACAGACUGAUGAAUGACUGAUUUGACAAUAGUUAAAUUCGAGAACUAAUCAUUCUGAUUGGUCGAGACCCUUAUAGCCAAUAACUAUUAUUCUUUCCUUUGAGUCUUCCUUUUUAAACUAAAUCGAGAGCAUUUCUUAGCAAAUCGGUACGUAACAAAUCGGGAUAUACUCCACGGUCGCUGAGCACCACAUCCUUAACCCGGGUCAGGGCGUUGCUCCACUACCCUUAACCCUAUCAAAACUGUAUCUCCGCCUGCUCUACAACCCUUUGCCCAUCUCCAGCGGGGCGCCGGUAUGUCACCCGGGCUUCUGCUGGUCCGUGGAGACGUCUCCGUCGGGUACUCUGCUCUGCCGGGUGACUCGGUACUUCGAGACUAUUUCUUCACGGCAUAUUUGAGUACCGCGACCUCAACUGAAUAAUAACGAAUUUUCCGAGAGCAUCGGCCUAACUGUACAAAUCGAUUCGAGAACGCGGCUUCUGAUCAGGAUGGCGACUCGAAGGGAACCAGAAAGCCGAAACGUUAUCCGAAUCGGUAGCUGGAGUCGCCUCGUGACCGUUUACGAAAUCAAGUCACAAUUAAUAAAAAUUAUAUGCGAAUUUUCUUUGUUUAAACAAUUAAAUCUCAUUCGCACCACUGUACUGUAAUACUAGCAUUUGCUAGCAGUGUACGAUUUCUAAUGGAAUUUCAAAUUGCAUGAAUCGCAUAGCUAAUGACUUGUACGUACAGUCCCAUAAUUCAUAACUGUUGCACAUAAAUAUGGCUGAAGUCAACUGAGCUCGAAAUAACACAUGUGUUACAUAUUUUCAUGAAUAUUCACGAAUAGUUUCUCAUGCUUGGGCAAUAAUUCAAAAAUUAACAGAAUAAGGACCUGUACCAGGACAAUCAUCUAGUCUGUUAAAUUUCCAAAUAAGGUUAAGGAAUUGUGUUUGCAUUUUAAAGAUGCACUUUAGUGGGUUCCGCUGUGCGAUAAUAGUCGUCUGUUUAAUUGUGUUAAUAAUUUCUUUUGUGAAAAUCUAUUAAUAUGAUAACGUGAUACGUAUUCAAGUAUUUUGUAAGUCGAAGAGUGCAAAACUAUCCAAUUUUCUAAAGAAUCGGAUGGUAAAAAGUAGAACACACGUGAUAAGAUUAAGACUACAAAGUAACGAGUCUGAAAACGAGGUAAAUUUUAGCACGAUAAUUUCAAAAUGAGAAAUUAUUGUAAUAGUAGGGAAACCAGCGAAGCAGAUCUUAUUUAAAACUAGCGAAAUCGAAAACGUAAAUUAUCUUAGAUACAUUCUCAUCGGGAAGAAAGAACUUUGAUAUUGGUGCUCGCUAUUACCGCAAAGUUUACAAAGUUGCAACCCAGACUAUGGGGAUUAGUAAGACAGCAAGUACAACUUUUCAAGAAGUUAUAUUUUCUUGUUUAUAUUAAGUAACUAUUUUUAAACAGUCUUCGCCUUGGAGUACCGCAUGUUAAAAUGCAAGUACUAAAUAUAUAGAUAUACAUUUCCUAACAAGGAAACUGUUCAUGAUCGAGCGUUGACGUUUAAUCAAUUGAAAAACAUCACUACCUCCAAAUUUAAAGUUUUCACCGAGUUAACUUCUCGCGUUCGAUGUACUCGGGACAUGGUAGUGGUACUAUUGGAAAAUACAAAGGUGCAGAAAUAUCCCCGAUUAACCCACUUUAGAGAUUAUAGCGAACAUAGCUUCAGCAUGAAAGUUUCCGUCUUCUUUCCCACCGCCCACUUAUCUAUCUGAAAAAAAAAUAUGUAGAAAAAUAUUGAUGAAAAAAAUACAAAACACUCAUGACAUGAA